UAUCUGAAGGCCGACCCUGUGGAGGGGU
rnacentral:sRNA from 1 species